CAAGAGGCUCGGGAUCACGCAUGCAGAAAAUCUGACCUGAAUUCCUCCACAUAAGAAGCAGAAUCGCGGCACUUCCAAGGGACCGAGAAAGUAGGCAUGUGGUUCAUCUUUAUGUCAGGUUACAACCUGUUGUUAGGUGGUAAAAAAGUGAUUUAUUGAUAAGUGAUUAUUAAAAAACUACAUAUACAUUUAAUGAUUCAAGUGAAAACUGCUUCCAUUUUAUGAUGAGCAUUUUAUGAUGAAUAUUUCGUCUGACUAAUGAGGAUGACACUGACAGUGUACACCGCAUACCAUACCAUGCUGCUGGUGGUGGAAUGAGUUAGAGUCCAACGUUGUACACAAGCCCACACUGCCGUGUGUACAGGAAAGUAAUGAGCUUACAUCAUACCAUCAUGUAUUAUAACUGUAGCAGAUGGCAGCGGGUGUGUGCAACAGUCUACUGCCCUGUUGGCUGCUGAGACCCACACCAGUGAGGACGCAGUGUGGUCAUGUCUCUUCUUCGCCAGCAUCAUUGACAACAUGUCGGCCUGUUCGACUCACGCAGUGUACCGCACCAACCCAUUCAGCUGUCACGCUCUGCUUCUCCUUCACAGAGCUGCAGUCACAUCUUGUGCAUUCUGAGAUUUGUGUGUUUGAGUGUCAGUGUGUGAGACAUUUUGCUUAAGGUGAUGUUACUAAGGUGUAACACAUGGUACUUUAUUUAAAUGUAAAUUAAUUAAAAAUGAAGAUUCUGAUUCAAAAAGAACAGGACCCAGUUACAUAUAAAGGCCCUGUUGAACAAACCUUUUGAGUUUAGACGGCAGCAUGUUAGAACUUCAUGUCUCAUACUGCUGUUUACCCUUUCUUAUAAUGCCCCAGAAUAUUUUUAGUACUCCCAUUAGCUGUGUUCAGAAAUCAAAUGUUUUUGUGUGGUUUCUUUGUUUGAAAGAUGAAUGUGAAAAUAAUUUCUAUGUAACAUGUAGCAUGUCCUAAGUUUGUGAAAUGUGCAGAUAUCCUGAAUUGUUUCCACUGUGGUGAGGCCCCCACAACCAAUAUCAUCAAACAGAUGACUGACAGGCUUAUGUUUAUUACUCUAGUGUGAAUAAAGGUGACCAAACCAUCAACAUACAGCAAAACCUGACAUGUUAGCCACGCUAGCAUGGCUUUGCAUUGUCGGCUUAUUUGUUGGUUGGAAAGGACACAAAAGUUCAUAAAAAGAACUUCUUCAUCUUUGUGUCCUGCUAUUUCUACCUCCAUACCAAUGAACAUGCAAUGCUCUUACAUA